UACGGGGGGAGCAAGCGUUGUUCGGAUUUACUGGGCGUAAAGGGCGCGUAGGCGGCCACCGCAAGUCGACUGUGAAAUCUCCGGGCUUAACCCGGAAAGGUCAGCCGAUACUGCGGGGCUAGAGUGCAGAAGGGGCAACUGGAAUUCCCGGUGUAGCGGUGAAAUGCGUAGAGAUCGGGAAGAACAUCGGUGGCGAAAGCGCUCUACUGGACCGCAACUGACACUCAGGGACGAAAGCUAGGGGAGCGAAUGGG
rnacentral:rRNA from 1 species